rnacentral:rRNA from 1 species
AAUCCAUAGGUUAAUGAGGCGAACCGGGGGAACUGAAACAUCUAAGUACCCCGAGGAAAAGAAAUCAACCGAGAUUCCCCCAGUAGCGGCGAGCGAACGGGGAGGAGCCCAGAGCCUGAAUCAGCAUGUGUGUUAGUGGAAGCGUCUGGAAAGGCGCGCGAUACAGGGUGACAGCCCCGUACACAAAAGCGCAUGUGCUGUGAGCUCGAUGAGUAGGGCGGGACACGUGGUAUCCUGUCUGAAUAUGGGGGGACCAUCCUCCAAGGCUAAAUACUCCUGACUGACCGAUAGUGAACCAGUACCGUGAGGGAAAGGCGAAAAGAACCCCGGCGAGGGGAGUGAAAAAGAACCUGAAACCGUGUACGUACAAGCAGUGGGAGCACAGGUUUACCUGUGUGACUGCGUACCUUUUGUAUAAUGGGUCAGCGACUUAUAUUCUGUAGCAAGGUUAACCGUAUAGGGGAGCCGGAGGGAAACCGAGUCUUAACCGGGCGUUAAGUUGCAGGGUAUAGACCCGAAACCCGGUGAUCUAGCCAUGGGCAGGUUGAAGGUUGGGUAACACUAACUGGAGGACCGAACCGACUAAUGUUGAAAAAUUAGCGGAUGACCUGUGGCUGGGGGUGAAAGGCCAAUCAAACCGGGAGAUAGCUGGUUCUCCCCGAAAGCUAUUUAGGUAGCGCCUCGUGAACUCAUCUCCGGGGGUAGAGCACUGUUUCGGCUAGGGGGCCAUCCCGGCUUACCAACCCGAUGCAAACUGCGAAUACCGGAGAAUGUUAUCACGGGAGACACACGGCGGGUGCUAACGUCCGUCGUGAAGAGGGAAACAACCCAGACCGCCAGCUAAGGUCCCAAAGUCAUGGUUAAGUGGGAAACGAUGUGGGAAGGCCCAGACAGCCAGGAUGUUGGCUUAGAAGCAGCCAUCAUUUAAAGAAAGCGUAAUAGCUCACUGGUCGAGUCGGCCUGCGCGGAAGAUGUAACGGGGCUAAACCAUGCACCGAAGCUGCGGCAGCGACACUGUGUGUUGUUGGGUAGGGGAGCGUUCUGUAAGCCUGUGAAGGUGGCCUGUGAGGGUUGCUGGAGGUAUCAGAAGUGCGAAUGCUGACAUAAGUAACGAUAAAGCGGGUGAAAAGCCCGCUCGCCGGAAGACCAAGGGUUCCUGUCCAACGUUAAUCGGGGCAGGGUGAGUCGACCCCUAAGGCGAGGCCGAAAGGCGUAGUCGAUGGGAAACGGGUUAAUAUUCCCGUACUUGGUGUUACUGCGAAGGGGGGACGGAGAAGGCUAUGUUGGCCGGGCGACGGUUGUCCCGGUUUAAGCGUGUAGGUGUGUGUUCCAGGUAAAUCCGGUUCACUUUAACACUGAGGCGUGAUGACGAGGCACUACGGUGCUGAAGCAACAAAUGCCCUGCUUCCAGGAAAAGCCUCUAAGCAUCAGGUAACACGAAAUCGUACCCCAAACCGACACAGGUGGUCAGGUAGAGAAUACCAAGGCGCUUGAGAGAACUCGGGUGAAGGAACUAGGCAAAAUGGUGCCGUAACUUCGGGAGAAGGCACGCUGACACGUAGGUGAAGUGAUUUACUCA